rnacentral:lncRNA from 1 species
UCAAAUAUGCAAAUAUGACAUCUAUUAGUUACUUUGGAGUUUCAUCACGUUAUUGAUGAGCCGGAAGGCAUAGUUGGGGUAGGAAACCAACCCCAUCGAUGUUGAUAGAAAUGUUCGCGACGCCAUGAAGACAGCCUUCCUCUAUUCGAACUCGCUGGCUACUCUUAGAAAUAGAUAUAAAAUGUUCACUUUUUUGUUAAUAACAUGUAAUUGAUAUAACGAAAGGAUAAUGCUGUUUGUAUAAUAUUUUUUUGACAACGUUGAUUAUCCCUUCUCAAUUGAUCCUACUGGGCUUCAAUCUCAUGGCCCAAAUAAACAACAUAAAAUGCUCCAAGUAUCCACCGAAAAUCAAGCAAACUAGGGUUUUUAAUCGACUCCUGAUCCGUAAAUCAAUAGAGGAAAAUGAUUUACGACGUUAAUUCUCCACUUUUCCGAUCCUUCCUCAGCCAGAAAGGAGGUUCUUCUGAUAAGAGGUAUUUACCGUUUAAUCAUGUUUUUAUGACUUUCUAGAUUUUCUCGAUUUUUUAUUUUUAUUUUUAUUAUUAUACAUAUUACGUUUUUCUUUCACAAUCUAGCUUUUACUAUAUCAUUAUAUCAUCUAUGAGAUCAUUCAACCGACAAUUCAGUUCUUGGGAUGUUCUUCUGAUUUUUAUAUAAAUUGUUGGCUAAACUGAACUCCUUACGGUUUUUAUGCAUUUGUUGGAAGAGUUUCAUUGAAUUUUUGAAAUGGGUUGAAUAACUUUGUACUUCCAUUACAAGAUUGAUGUUAUAAACUGAAUGUUCGCAUUGAUUCACAGCACUCUCUAGGUUUAAUUGGUUGUGUUUUCUUUCUUUAUCCUCUGUAGUUGUUAAGUGGAUACUGCUGCUUAUAGCUUAUUUGACGACUUGAUUAGAAGUCGUAAUCAAGCGCACAGAUGAAGCCCAAUAAUUAUGAAGUAGUAAUAUUGUAUUAUCCCAGUAUAUCUGCACAUAAUUGGGUUGAAACAGCUUAUGUUAAGUUGUUUCAAUCUACUGCAGAACUUGUACACUUCCAUUGUACAUUGUUUCAAUAUAUUUUGUUAUGCCUUUCAAGAUUCGAUCUGGUGAGGACGUGCUUUGGCAAAUUUAAAGCAACUUUUUUGAAGAGGAAAAUUAAGUUAGUUGCUUAAAUUUGAAUGUUGUCUCGGUUUAAUUGACGGGCUUUGUACACUUGAACGCAAUUCCAGGAAAACGGAAGAGCAGAAGCCGAGGGAACAUAAGCCAAAGGCAAAUGAAAACAAGCCGGUCAUGACAGAGUAAUAAGAGUAAGCUUUAAACAUGGAUAGAUUACCUUGAAGGCUAUUGAUAAUUUUUAUUAAGCAUUCUAUCCUUGAACUAGUUGUGCUAUUUGUGGUUUAAAUCCAGAUGUUACAUAAAUGGCCAUAGCUUUUGGUUUGGAAAUUUGAUCUUAGUGUUUAUUUGGAUGUUUUAUUUCGGAGAAGAGUGGGAGAAAGAUAGUGAAUUGGCGAAAAUGUGGAUAAUUACACGAGCUAAAAUGUGGCAAUCGAAUUAGAUUGAAAUUUGUGUGUGGAAUCUUUCAUCUGAUGAAUUCAAAGACCACACACAAAUUUAUAGAUGUCUAUUCUUUGCUUUUAAAAAUUAUAAAGCUCGUGUAAUUGUAUCCACAUUCUUCUUGUUUCCGAAAUUCAGGAGGAGAUUCACUGUCCAUGCUUCUGUCCUAUUUACCAUUUGGGAUAGGGCAAUGUCUGGACGAUAAAUUUUGCUAUCCUUGUGCAUAGCCAGUCUAGUCUCACUUCCGCUUCUCAAGAUCAAGAUUAAAUGAAUGCAGUUCUCGUUCUAUAAAACAGAUAUGCUUCUAAAUUAUAAUCUUUUGCUUUUGAGGAAGUGAUGAUCCACCAAGACAAAAAUAAUCUUCAACUCUUAUUAUUAAGGUAAAAAGCAGGUACAAUUUAAGAUUAUUUAGACCUUAAUCGUAUUAUACCACAAUUCUAAAUAUUAUAAAAUCUUUUAAUUAUAUGAAAAUUUUUAUUUAACCCCAAUUAUCUGUAAGUGCUAAUUGAGUAAAAUUUUAAAAUAUUUGAGAUAUUAUAUGAAUAUUUUGAUAAUUUAAUUGAUUUGUGAAUGUUGAAUUGGGUUGUUAAUUGAGGAAAUUUUAACAUAUUUGAGAUGUUAUAUGAAUAAUGUGAUAAUUUAAUUGAUUUGUAAAUGUGUAAUUGGUAUUACAAAAAAUAGUAUUAUAAAUUGUAAUCGUAUUAUGAAUAGUUGAUUUUACUUGAAAAUGUAAAUUGUAGUUGACUAAUAUCGAGAUUUCGUCAAAAAUCAAGUAUGAAGAAAGGCUGACAACUAACUUCUAAUUUAUUAUUGUCCAUGUAACCUUUAUGCAGGGGCAAUUAAAAGUCAAGACACAAUAAACAGUGCGGUGAACGGAUUCGAGUUUGCUUUUUCUUUGAGAAAUCAAUACCUUGGCGGUUGAGCAAUGCGAUAGAAUCUGAGUUUUGGAAAUGUUCGUCGGCGUCAAAUUCAUGAAAAUUAAACUCCCGUACAUAGUAACAUUGAGUCACAAAAUGGGGAGAUUACGGGUAAUUUGACCUCCAUUGUCGCAAGCGGAAAUAGGCUAAACUCUAGUUUGAUAGUAAUUUUUCACCUCAAAAAAUGAAUUUUUUGAUUGUUAUUUUACUAUUUUAAUCAUCAAUUUUUACUUUUUUGAGUCAUAGGUGGGAUUUACUUCUCUAUAAAGGUCAAAAAAUUAAUUUUCAUAAUCAUUAUCGAACAAGCCAUGAGAACUCAAUAUAUAGAGUUGAAUUCAUAUUUUUAAUUAUUUUGUCAUGCCUUUAAUUGGCAUCGUCGUGUUGAGGGUUCGAUUAUUGUUGUGCCUUUUUAAUUGGUAAGGUUAUAAACUCUCUUGGGACCCAGUACCCCAAUUUUUUCAUAUUCGCCA